UGCUUAGUAACUGUCUCCAGCUAACAUUUUCAGUUGCCCCAGAUUCUGACAACACUAUAUUUCAUAUCAAGGCCACAGUAAGCCAAGAAAUCAUGGAAUUUCAAAUUACUACAGGAGAAUUACUUCAUACAUAAGUAAUGAUUCGAAGAACGUCUGCCAUUUGUACCGCCACAGUUAAUGGAACAUAAUCUACGUAAUGGAGCUAGGGUUCCUCCCUUCCUUUCUAAAGGCAGCCUCCUGAGAUUUCAAUUGAACAAUUCAACUGGCAAUCAUCCCAUGGUUUAAAAUAUCUCUGCAUAUGACACAAUUUCUACAUGUUCAAUAAUAGUUUUUGAAUUCCUGAACGGAGUAUAAGUAGCUCUCCUGAGAGAUUUCUGAAUGUACAAACUGAAAAGACAGACUAAGUGAUGCAGUAACUGAUAAUUAUACCUUUUACGAGACCUGAAAUCUCAAAACAGAAGAAAAAUUAGAUAAAUAAAUAAACGAGUUACUUUGUCUACUUUU